rnacentral:rRNA from 1 species
GCAGCAGGCGCGAAAACUUUGCAAUACACGAAAGUGUGACAGGGUCAUCCCGAGUGCCGACCGCUGAGGUUGGCUUUUACCCAGUCUAGAAAGCUGGGGGAAUAAGGAGAGGGCAAGUCUGGUGUCAGCCGCCGCGGUAAUACCAGCUCUCCGAGUGGUGUGGACGUUUAUUGGGCCUAAAGCAUCCGUAGCUGGCUGGACAAGUCCCCUGUUAAACCCACCGAUCUAAUCGUUGGUCUGCGGGGGAUACUGCUCGGCUAGGGGACGAGAGAGGCAGACGGUAUUCCCGGGGUAGGGGUGAAAUCCUAUAAUCCCGAGAAGACCACCAGUGGCGAAGGCUGUCUGCUAGAGCGCGCCCGACGGUGAGGGAUGAAAGCUGGGGGAGCGAACCGGAUUAGAUACCCGGGUAGUCCCAGCUGUAAACGAUGCAGACUGGGUGUUUGGACGGCCACGUGCCGUUCUAGUGCCGCAGGGAAGCUGUUAAGUCUGCCGCCUGGGGAGUACGAUCGCAAGAUUGAAACUUAAAGGAAUUGGCGGGGGAGCACCACAAGGGGUGAAGCUUGCGGUUUAAUUGGACUCAACGCCGGAAA